AAACUAAAACCUCUUGAAGUCUAACUGUUUCCAUAACAAGACUGCUCAAAAUCCAUGUAUCCACAAAUAGUUAAGGCACCCAAGAAUGACGCUUACAACUGGAUCACCCCGUUCAUUGGUUUUGUGGGAAUAAACAACAACAACCACCCCCCUCCACAUUUGGCUGUGUGCUCCACCCACAGCACACAGCCAAAUGGCCAGGCAGACACAUUUCUCGUGGGUUUGUUCUGUAGCAGUGACUGUGGCAUUCCCAGGACAGCUGUGACAGAGAGGACAAACUGGAACAGUGGCAGCAGCAGUGAAAGGCACAGACUGAGUGGAUGUCUCAGCCAGGCAGGAAGAGGGCCAGCCAAGAGAGGCUGGGUGCCAGGCAGUCAUCUCUGUGCUUGCUGCCUGCUCCCGAGCCUGGGACUGUAAACACUGAGCCUUGCCCCGGGAGCCCUUCCUGGGCAGAAGGAAAGCCUGCCUCUGGAAAGGUGUGAGCAGGAGGGCACAGCACCAGCACACAAACCCUCCUGCUCCUCUGCACAAAUAACGGGGACGACAGCCAAAGCCUGGGCACAGGGAUGAAAGCACAUUUGUGAAGAAGUUGUAUCUGGCAGGGAGGACAGAAGGAGCAGCUCUGCUGGGGGAUAUCAACUGCCCCCCUGUCUGCGAUGUGGCUAGGUAUGUAAAUCCCUGCCUUGGGAUCCUGCUGUGCACAAGUCACCAGAUGGUGCUCUACAUACAGACUUGAAAGUUCUUUAUCUUAAUGUGGGAGCUUCUGCGGCCUUUGAGGAAAUAACGAUGUUAUUUUUGUGAAGCCUUUCCUUUAAAGUUUAAUUUGCAUCUUAGUCUUUUCAUCUCAAAUAGUUUUUUUGUUAAGCUGUUUAUUCAGAACAGCUUCGGUGCUGAGAUUUUUGAGACAGAAUAUUCAGGCAUAAGAUUUCCAUAACAUUUCCAUAAAAUAUGGGAGUAAAAUAUAAACUGCAAUAAGAAAAUAUUUAGUCAUAUAAUUUUUACAUCACUUAUUUCACCUGCAAUGGUAAAUAAAUAUACAGAAUCUUCUGCAUCACAGUGGAUAUGACAUCACAGAAGUGGUACCAUGUAAGAAAAGAAAUCUGAGGAUGUGGUGAAGAUUAAAUAGUAGGUAAAAGGCUUUUCAGAUAAAAACAGCCACAGCAUAGUAAAGCAUUCUUAUCUUCUAGAAAUGCAAUGCCAAGUGUAUCCUACUCAUCUUCCCUCUGAAAUCCUAUACCCAUCCUGCUUCCACUAAUAGUUUUAAGACAAUUAACAGAAAUACUGAAAAUAUGGAUGCCUCUUUUUCAUCGUCUCUUAAAAGAGAAUUCAUGUCAUUAAAUUAUGUAUUAGAAGUCACGCGCACUACGACUCUGAAGAUCAGGACAACAGCAAAUUUAUUAAGAGGAUGCAUUUGAUCGUCGCCUUGAAAUUUUGGAAACCGCCCAGGAGAUGGCAGCAAAUGGCACUCCGGGGGUAGGAGCCUCCGGUCAUGAAGAGUGUUCCUCAUUCCUUUUACAUCCCUUCAGUGGCAUUAAAAUGGACCUUGCUACCAACAUUUGAUCAUUACCAAGAAGUUCACAGUGCUCAAGCCCAUCAAAAAGUGAAGAAAUGCACAGAGUGACUCCUAUGAGAUCAUUUAUUCUCAGUGAAGAGCAAUUAAUGGAUUGCAAGUCAUGACUGGCAUUCCAGGGAACCACAAAAUCAGGAGGGUGGGAUCAAAGUGGUAAGAGAUCUCUCCUGCUCCAGAACACAUAAAAGACUGGAUUUCACUACUGCUGCCCUCUGUACUUUACACUGACACUACCAUUUCCCCCCUCUGUUCACUGGUUUACAAUACUCUGAUAUGGGUGCUCUCAUUUUCUAACUGUACUUGUAAAUGUUGAAAAGAUUGACUGGGAAAAUGUUUUUCAGGUAAUCAGUCAUUUUUACUAUGCAUCCUUCAGUGUUCAUGGACCUUUCCAGGCUAUUACACACUUCAAAGAAGCUUAUGAUUACCUCCUCAGGAGCUGGAGAAAAAGCAUGAGAUUAUUCUUUACUACCUAAUUCAUUCAAAUGGAGUGAACUCAUUUUUAUAACAUUUGCUACACUGUUUGUCCCAAAAGCAAGAAUACACUUUUACUUUUAUAAUGCAUGCCUGCAAAUGAAAAUUACCUCUUCUGUGGAAUUGUCUACAGGCUUUGCUAGAUGAGUGAUUUGUGACAGUCCAGACUCAACUGCACCAAUGCAAAGUGCCCUAUGUCCACAGAAUUUAACUCCCGGUGUUUAAAAAAUCUGAGAGUUGAAUGGAGCAUAAUUAAAGUGAAGGUCAAACUACAUCAUUACUGUAUUUGCUUGCA